rnacentral:rRNA from 1 species
UCGAAGGUAGCAUAAUCAGUAGUCUUUUAAUUGAAGGCUGGUAUGAAUGGUUGGACGAGAUAUUAACUGUUUCAUAAAAAUUUAUAAAAGAAUUUUAUUUUUUAGUUAAAAAGCUAAAAUUUAUUUAAAAGACGAGAAGACCCUAUAAAUCUUUAUAUUUAAUUUAUUAUAAUUUUGUAGAUUAUUUUUGUUAUAAUAAGUGAUUAUAUUUUAUUGGGGUGAUAUUAAAAUUUAAUUAACUUUUAAUUUAUAAAACUCAUUAAUUUAUGAAUAAUUGAUCCGUUUAUAGCGAUUAAAAAAUUAAGUUACUUUAGGGAUAACAGCGUAAUUUUUUUGGAGAGUUCAUAUCGAUAAAAAAGAUUGCGACCUCG